rnacentral:rRNA from 1 species
AAUCAACGCUGGCGGCGUGCCUCAGACAUGCAAGUCGAACGCGAAAUUUCCCUUCGGGGAGAAAGUAGAGUGGCGCACGGGUGAGUAACACGUAGGUAAUUUGCCUUUGGGUGGGGAAUAACUCAGGGAAACUUGAGCUAAUACCGCAUAAUGCAGCGGCUCGACAUCGAGACAGUUGUUAAAGCGGGGGAGUCGCAAGACCUCGCGCCUAAAGAGAAGCCUGCGGCAGAUUAGCUAGUUGGUAAGGUAAUGGCUUACCAAGGCGACGAUCUGUAACCGGCCUGAGAGGGCGGUCGGUCACACUGACACUGACAUACGGGUCAGACUCCUACGGGAGGCAGCAGUCGGGAAUUUUUCUCAAUGGGCGCAAGCCUGAGGAGCGACGCGCGUGUGGGAUGAAGGUUUCGAUCCGUAAACCACUGUCAUUUGUGAACAAUGGUUAUCCGUGAAUAACGGAUGACUUGAUAGUAAUGAAAGAGGAAGGGAC